rnacentral:lncRNA from 1 species
AUUAAGAGAAGAUUGGUUUUGAAUGCCAGCAACUAGUGUAUCUUGAUCAUUCUUGCACUCUUUCGCCAUGACCAAGAAUCAGAUGGAGAUUUUGGCAAAGGAGGAAGUAACAACAGUUUACGGCAUAGACCAAAUGGCCAUCCUUCACAGUGUGAGAAUUCCUGAAUAGCAGAGCGCCUUGGAAAAUCUUGAAACACAAUCCUGUUACAUAGACCGAAUGGCCAUCCUUCACAAUAUGAGAAUUCCUGAAUAACAGAGCGCCUAGGAAAAUCUUGAAACUCAAUCCUGUUCAAGCUUGAAGAACGAGAAAGGUUUGUCUUAGCUGUGGCAAAUGCCUCAUAGCUUAAAGCACUUGAGCAGCGCGAAAGACGAGUCCCAACAGAGAAGAAAUCCUCGUUAUUUUCCUUUUCUUCAUGUUCAUUGUCCUCCUUUUGUUGCAGUAGCUUUGCUGAGAUGAUUAAAUCUCCUGCUGUUGGCGAGAGAGUCCAGUUG